UGAGCAUCAAACACUUGGGUUGAACCUCCCCAUAGUGAUAAGACAAGCUGUAAGUGGAUCCGCCUGUCGUGCCAGCCAUGCCUUCACCGGGGCUUUGAAAACACAGUGACACUGCACCUCUGAUGUUUAUCCACAUAACUGCUGGGCAGAGGUACUGGGAUUUCAUCAGUUGUGCCUGUUUGGUUGUACAGAGCUAAUAACAACUGUGCACAAAUAAUAAUGCAUUUAUAAAAAAUAAUUCAAUUUCAAAAUGGAAGCUCGCACUGGCACAGGAUGCCCAUUGAUGCUGGGGAUGCCCCAUCCCUGCAGGUGCAGGGAGUGGGGCUGGGUGAUCUUUAAGAUCCCUUCCAACCCAACCACUCUACAAUUACCUAGAAAAAGCCAACACAUUGCAUCUACCUCCAAGACAGAGCCACACCUGCAGUGCAAGGGCGCAUGAAAAGCAAUAGAAAGUUUGGAUUUCAAUUGAAACGUAGGGAAAAAUCUUCAAAAUAAAGUGGAAUUUCUUCUGGACACUGGGACUUUUGUCAAAUGAGAAGUGACCCAUUGUCUCAUGAUUUACCACCAGUGCCAAUUCCCAGCAGAAGGGAUGCAGACACCUCGUGGGUCUCCUCUCUGACUGAGAUGGGAGCCAAUGCCCAGCCUGACUCCAGGUACAUUUCCUGAAGCAGAAACACUUAGAUUUCUUCUUUAUGUUUUAAACACCCAUUCUUGAGAGAGCUUUCAUUUUUACAAGACAGAUAAUACACAGACCAAUGGCAGAUUACAUCAAGAGGACAAAGAAGACUGAGAAUUUGACUGUGGUUAUUACCUUUGGAUGAGUUUUCAGUCAUUCCUUCAGAAGUUAAAAAACAAAUAAGUAGGGUAAAGUGCUCCCAUUUAAGACCGUGAGUACUGACACGGGAUGAAGUCCUCCCCACACCGAAUCAAAUAACUGGCAAACACAUCCAAGUUGGCAUGGCAUGGAUAUAUACAUAUAUACAAGUAUGCCUGUGGACACAUAAAAAGCACAAAAUCGCUUGAGAAUUGUGCAGCCACAACACCCAGGAAUGAGGAACUCAACCUUCCUCCCCCUCCCCUACCCCAGAGCACUGGCAGCACCCAGCCCUCAGCAUGCCUGCAACUGGGAGAACAAAAAGGGGAAAUGGACUGCUGUGGGGAUUUUGAAACCACAGUCACAACUCUGCCUUGUGAAUUUCAAAGCCGCAGCCACCGCUUGCAUCCAUUAAGCAUCGAUAGGGUUCUGGCUGUAGGGUCUGAGCAGCAGAGGUGGUUGUCUGGAGGGGACAGAGCGGCGUUCCCUCCCAUGGCUGUGCAGAUGCUGAGGUCACAGAGUGGAGCUGGCUGUGCUCAAUCCUAUAACAGCUCUGCCACCCCGUCAUAGCCCUGAGAGUUGUGUGUGGUCUGCAGUUGGGUCUUGCAACCAGCCAGAGCCCUCUCACUCCAUUUCCAGUUCACAUCACUCUAAUAGGCCCUCAGCUGGCCCAAGAAAUUCCCAAACAUCUCUUUCUACAAACAAGGAGUUGGAUUUCUUUUGUCUUGCAAUCAGGGGAGACAAAUUCUCCCCUCAACCACAGUUUAAUUUAUUCCUUUUGGUAGUUAUUGCCUCCACCUACUGAAGUUGUCUAGACUGUUGGGAUUUUUUUCCACCUUUUUUCCUUUUUUCCCCCUUUUUUCUUUUCAGUUCAAGAUUUUUGGAAGCUGCCUUUGCCUCUUUCCGAAACAAGUUUAUUUUUAGUGUCACUUUUUCCAUUGGCAAGAUAUCAUGGCUGAGUGAGCUUCUCUUGGAGGAACUUCUUUGCUUUCAAUAGGAAAAUGAGAAACCCGCCCAGUUGCAGGGAUGGUGCAGCAGAAGGCACUUGAGGUAACAUCAUACUGUCCAAGCGGGAAGCAGGUUUGCCUGGAGCAGGCCCCGCUCACGCCAACAAAAUGGAGGCCACGCAAUGCAGGCCCUGCUCACACCAACAAAAUGGAGGCCACGCAAUGCAGGCCCCGCUCACACCAACAAAAUGGAGGCCACGCAAUGCAGGCCCCGCUCUCACGCCAACAAA
ensembl:lncRNA